CCCUUAGAUGUUCUGGGCCGCACGCGCGCUACACUGAUGCAUUCAACGAGUUUCUUCCUGGUCCGAGAGGAAUGGGUAACCUUUUGAAACUGCAUCGUGAUAGGGAUAGACUAUUGCAAUUAUUGGUCUUCAACGAGGAAUUCCUAGUAGACGUAGUUCAUCAGACUGCAUCGAUUACGUCCCUGCCCUUUGUACACACCGCCCGUCGCUCCUACCGAUUGAAUGCUCAGGUGAGCCAUUCGGACUUUCAUCAUGCUGGUUUCCAGUUUUGAUGAAGGAAAGUCUUGCGAACCUUAUCAUUUAGAGGAAGGAGAAGUCGUAACA
rnacentral:rRNA from 1 species